rnacentral:rRNA from 1 species
ACGGGAGGCAGCAGUGGGGAAUAUUGGACAAUGGGGGAAACCCUGAUCCAGCGACGCCGCGUGAGUGAGGAAGUAUUUCGGUAUGUAAAGCUCUAUCAGCAAGGAAGAAAAUGACGGUACUUGACUAAGAAGCUCCGGCUAAAUACGUGCCAGCAGCCGCGGUAAUACGUAUGGAGCAAGCGUAAUCCGGAUUUACUGGGUUUAAAGGGAGCGUAGACGGCUUUGCAAGUCUGAAGUGAAAGCCCGGGGCUCAACCCCGGAACUGCUUUGGAAACGGUAGAGCUAGAGUACAGGAGAGGUAAGCGGAAUUCCUAUGGUAGCGGUGAAAUGCGUAGAUAUUAGGAGGAACACCAGUGGCGAAGGCGGCUGACUGGACUGUAACUGACGUUGAGGCUCGAAAGCGUGGGGAGCAAACAGGAUUAGAUACCCUGGUA